rnacentral:rRNA from 1 species
GGACGAACGCUGGCGGCGUGCCUAACACAUGCAAGUCGAACGGAGCUGUUUUGGACGGAGACUUCGGUCAAAGACCAUAGCAGCUUAGUGGCGGACGGGUGAGUAACGCGUGAGUAACCUGCCCUUCAGAGGGGGAUAGUGUCUGGAAACGGACAGUAAUACCGCAUAAUGUACAUUGAUGGCAUCUUCGAUGUACCAAAGCUUUUGCGCUGAAGGAUGGGCUCGCGUCUGAUUAGAUAGUUGGUGAGGUAACGGCCCACCAAGGCGACGAUUGGUAGCCGGACUGAGAGGUUGAACGGCCACAUUGGGACUGAGACACGGCCCAGACUCCUACGGGAGGCAGCAGUGGGGAAUAUUGUACAAUGGGGGAAACCCUGAUGCAGCGACGCCGCGUGGUGGAAGAAGGUCUUCGGAUUGUAAACUCCUGUUGUUGGGGAAGAUAAUGACGGUACCCAACAAGGAAGUGACGGCUAACUACGUG